rnacentral:rRNA from 1 species
AUUGAACGCUGGCGGCAGGCCUAACACAUGCAAGUCGAACGAGUGGCGGACGGGUGAGUAAUGUCGGGGACACUGCCUGAUGGGGGGGGAUAACUACUGGAAACGGUAGCUAAUACCGCAUAGCAUCAGAUGUGCCCAGAUGGGAUUGGCUUGUUGGUGGGGUAACGGCUCACCAAGGCGACGAUCCCUAGCUGUGCUGAGAGGAUGACCAGCCACAUGGGAACUGGGACACGGUCCAGACUCCUACGGGAGGAAGCAGUGGGGAAUAUUGGACAAUGGGCGCAAUCCUGCUGCAGCCAUGCCGGGUGUAUGAGGAGGGCCUUCGGGUUGUAAAGUACUUUCAGCGGGGAGGCGUUACCCGCAGAAGAAGCACCGGCUAACUCCGUGCCAGCAGCCGCGGUAAUAC